rnacentral:rRNA from 1 species
GGUCUGACCCGAGGCCAUCGCCCGCGUGAGUGAAGAAGGUUUUCGGAUCGUAAAACUUCUGUUGUAGAGAAGACGUGUGUAGAGUGAAAAUUACACAAGUGACGGUAUCUAGCCAGAAAGGGACGGCUAACUACGUGCCAGCAGCGCGGUAUACGUAGGUCCCGAGCGUGUCCGGAUUUAUUGGGCGUAAAGCGAGCGCAGGUGGUUUAAUAAGUCUGAUGUAAAAGGCAGUGGCUCAAACCAUUGUGUGCAUUGGAAACUGUUAGACUUGAGUGCAGUAGAGGAGAGUGGAAUUCCAUGUGUAGCGGUGAAAUGCGUAGAUAUAUGGAGGAACACCGGUGGCGAAAGCGGCUCUCUGGACUGUAACUGACACUGAGGCUCGAAAGCGUGGGUAGCAAACAGGAUUAGAUACCCUGGUAGUCCACGCCGUAAACGAUGAGUGCUAGUUGUUUGGGGCUAUCCAGCCCUAAGUGACGCAGCAAACGCAUUAAGCACUCCGCCUGGGGAGUACGACCGCAAGGUUGAAACUCAAAGGAAUUGACGGGGGCCCGCACAAGCGGUGGAGCAUGUGGUUUAAUUCGAAGCAACGCGAAGAACCUUACCAGGUCUUGACAUACCAGUGCUAUUCUUAGAGAUAAGAAGUUACCUCGGUACACUGGAUACAGGUGGUGCAUGGUUGUCGUCAGCUCGUGUCGUGAGAUGUUGGGUUAAGUCCCGCAACGAGCGCAACCCCUAUUGUUAGUAGCCAUCAUUAAGUUGGGCACUCUAGCGAGACUGCCGGUAAUAAACCGGAGGAAGGUGGGGAUGACGUCAAAUCAUCAUGCCCCUUAUGACCUGGGCUACACACGUGCUACAAUGGUUGGUACAACGAGUCGCAAGCUAGUGAUAGCAAGCUAAUCUCUUAAAGCCAAUCUCAGUUCGGAUUGUAGGCUGCAACUCGCCUACAUGAAGUCGGAAUCGCUAGUAAUCGCGGAUCAGCACGCCGCGGUGAAUACGUUCCCGGGCCUUGUACACACCGCCCGUCACACCACGAGAGUUUGUAAUACCCAAAGCCGGUGAGCUAACCUUUUAGGAGGCAGCCGUCUAAGGUAGGAUAGAUGAUUGGGGUGAAGUCGUAACAAGGUAGCC